rnacentral:rRNA from 1 species
AUCAUGGCUCAGGAUGAACGCUAGCGGCAGGCUUAACACAUGCAAGUCGAGGGGCAGCGCGGGGCAGCAAUGUUCUGGCGGCGACCGGCGGAAGGGUGCGUAACGCGUGAGCGACAUGCCCGUUGCCCGGGGACAACCGGUGGAAACGCCGACUAAUCCCCGAUGGGACGGAGGCCCUCAUGGGUCUCCGUUGAAAGUUACGGCGGCGACGGAUUGGCUCGCGUCCGAUUAGCUUGUUGGCGGGGUAACGGCCCACCAAGGCUACGAUCGGUAGGGGUUCUGAGAGGAAGGUCCCCCACAAUGGAACUGAGACACGGUCCAUACUCCUACGGGAGGCAGCAGUGAGGAAUAUUGGUCAAUGGGCGGAAGCCUGAACCAGCCAUGCCGCGUGCGGGAAGGAGGCCCUAUGGGCUGUGAACCGCUUUUGCCUGGGGGCAAUAAGGGCGUCGUGCACGUCCGAUGAGAGUACCAGGCGAAUAAGCAUCGGCUAACUCCGUGCCAGCAGCCGCGGUAAUACGGGGGAUGCGAGCGUUAUCCGGAUUCAUUGGGUUUAAAGGGUGCGUAGGCUGUGCGUCAAGUCAGGGGUGAAAUUCCGGGGCUCAACUCCGGGGCUGCCCUUGAUACUGUCGCGCUGGAGUGCGGAUGCCGCCGGAGGAAUGAGUGGUGUAGCGGUGAAAUGCUUAGAUAUCACUCAGAACACCGAUUGCGAAGGCAUCUGGCGAAUCCGUAACUGACGCUGAGGCACGAAAGCGUGGGGAUAGAACAGGAUUAGAUACCCUGGUAUUCCACGCCGUAAACGAUGAUGGCUAACCGCCGGCGACACACUGUCGGUGGCCAAGCGAAAGCGAUAAGCCAUCCACCUGGGGAGUACGUCGGCAACG